rnacentral:rRNA from 1 species
UUAGAGUUUGACCCUGGCUCAGAUUGAACGCUGGCGGCAUGCCUUACACAUGCAAGUCGAACGGCAGCGCGGGGCAACCUGGCGGCGAGUGGCGAACGGGUGAGUAAUAUAUCGGAACGUACCCUGGAGUGGGGGAUAACGUAGCGAAAGUUACGCUAAUACCGCAUACGAUCUACGGAUGAAAGUGGGGGAUCGCAAGACCUCAUGCUCGUGGAGCGGCCGAUAUCUGAUUAGCUAGUUGGUAGGGUAAAAGCCUACCAAGGCAUCGAUCAGUAGCUGGUCUGAGAGGACGACCAGCCACACUGGGACUGAGACACGGCCCAGACUCCUACGGGAGGCAGCAGUGGGGAAUUUUGGACAAUGGGCGCAAGCCUGAUCCAGCAAUGCCGCGUGAGUGAAGAAGGCCUUCGGGUUGUAAAGCUCUUUUGUCAGGGAAGAAACGGUGGGAGCUAAUAUCUCUCACUAAUGACGGUACCUGAAGAAUAAGCACCGGCUAACUACGUGCCAGCAGCCGCGGUAAUACGUAGGGUGCAAGCGUUAAUCGGAAUUACUGGGCGUAAAGCGUGCGCAGGCGGUUUUGUAAGUCUGAUGUGAAAUCCG